GACGAACGCUGGCGGCGUGCCUAAUACAUGCAAGUCGAACGAACCGCGACUAAGUGCUUGCACUAAGUCAAGGUGAGUGGCGAACGGGUGAGUAACACGUGGGUAACCUACCUCAUAGUGGGGGAUAACAGUCGGAAACGACUGCUAAUACCGCAUAGGACAUAGGAUCACAUGAUUCGGAGAGGAAAGGUGGCGCAAGCUAUCGCGAAGAGAUGGACCCGCGGGGCAUUAGCUAGUUGGUCGGGUAAAGGCCUACCAAGGCGAUGAUGCAUAGCCGACGGGAGAGGGGGAUAGGCGACCUGGGGAGUGAGACGCCGCCCAAGCGCCUGCGGGAGGCAGCAGUAGCGAACCUGCCGCAAUGGACGCAAGUAUGACGGAACAACGCCGCGUGAGUGAAGAAAAUCUUGGGAGCGUAAAGCUGUGUUUUUAGAGAAGAACAGCGCAUGGAGUAGCUGCUAUGCGUGUGACGGUAUCUAACCAGGAAGCAACGGCUAACUACGUG
rnacentral:rRNA from 1 species